CGCGGCCUCCUGCCUUCCACGAACAAUCACCACAGCUCUCCACGCUCUGCUUUCUGGGUCGGGAGCCCAUUUCCAGGGAAAGCAGGCAAGAAACACACCGAUCAGAUCGUUGGAAAAAAAAUAGAAAAUUUGAAUCCCCGGAGGCUGCUGGACCUCGGGUCCUCUGAAGGACAAACAUCUACUGUGUUUUAUUAAAUGUUUUCCAUGUUAGUAAGCACUGGGAAGUGCCAGAACCAGCCGCGGCUUUCUGCUAAGCCCGGAGAGGCAGGCACUUGGGGCCUCUGAAUAGUUCUGUCUCUCCACUGCUCAGCGUGCUGGAAAUGGCUUGGCCCCGAGGCUGCAGAGUCCUAGGAGACCCCGCACCAUUCUACCGAGCAGGGCCCUGCUUCUGGAAGAAGCAGACUACUCCUUUCUUGACAGGGGUUUACAAGUUUCUCAGCCCCAAUGUUGCCUGGAAGGCAUUUGCCCACGGACCAUAGGACGAAAAUAUCGAGAAGGUGGCGGGGCUGCUGACCUCUCCAGUCAGGCUUGCCUCACCGCUCUUGCCUCACCACUGGACCGCCCUGCUCUCUCCUGCAGAAUGGAGCCUGCUAGCACCUGGCUGCUUUGGCUUUCACCUGUCUAGACUCUGGUGGAACUUGCUGACUACCCACACCCAGCUUGGCAACACAUGUGGAUGCAGGUGCUCACUGAGGCCAGAAGAGGACAUCAGAUACAAUUAUGGAUGAUUGUAAACCUCCUGAUGUAGAAGCUUUCCACCAAGCUCCAGUUCCCUGAAAGACAAGCAAAUGCUCUUACUGCUGAACCAUCUCUCCAAUGUUUUAUCCAAAUGCAAAUUUAUGCUGGAUGUGGGGCAUUCUACAGGAUAACUCAGCCAUGACCCAAACAAUCUAUCUCUACAUGUUUCCUUGGUGAUAUUUAAAUGCUGUGCUCAAGGUUCUGGUCGGUAUGCUUAGUGAUUAUAAAAUAAUUGAAUUCUAAGUUAAUCAACCAUUCAACCAACCAAGCAACCAGUAAGCAUCUAUUAAGCAGCGCUGAUACCAUCUGUUAGAUUCUGUUGGAAGUACACACUAAAACCAGGAUGUCAUUCCACCAUCACGGGAUGUCAUGUUUUGGGGGGAAGACCCAAAUAAGACAUAACAGAGAAACUUCCAAACCACCUAAGAUCCUGGGUCUGCUUUGACUUCUGAAAAUGAAAAGAAUUAAAAGUCACAUGGAUGGGAGAAAGCUAUGGGUAAGGAAAGCGAACAAAAUAACUUACUCAAUUUCUAUCUGCCAGUAUGAUUGUUUGGUUUUUAAAAAGGCAGGAGAGGGGAUCGGAGGAGGCCUAGUCAGUAGCACAAGCACAAGGACCCGAGUUUGAGCCCCAACACCUACAUGAAAGCCAGACAUGAUGGCACAUCCUUGAGAUAUGAGUACUGGGGAGGCAGGGACAGGUAGAUUCCUGGGGCUCAUUGGUCAGGUAGCUUAGCCUCACCAGCAAGCUCUAGGUCCCAGCAAGAUAUCCUGUCUCAAAAAGCAAGAUCAAUGGCUCCUGCGAGUCUACCUGGCUUUCUCUCCUGGCUUGCUCAGCCUUCUUUCUUACAGCACCCAGGACCACCGGCGUGGCCUGGCACCACACAACGAGCUCUGUGCAUAUGCAGGCACACACUCCACAAUGUGCAGGACAUCAGAGCAGGUCCACAGGGAUGCGAGCCGGGAUGGAAAUCAGGUAGAGUAAGGGCUUUGACAGUUGGCACAGGGGAAGCGCUGAUUAAGUAAACGAAAGUCUAGUGCAGUGGGGUGACCAGCAGUGAUGAGAUCCAGGCAAAAGCCAUGACUGAAAUGCUUGAAGGAGCUGACCCAAAAAUGUGUCGCAGGCCUGUGACGUGCCUCAGUAGGUAAAGGUACAUGCUGCAGAUUCCGAAGACCUGAGUUCCAUGCCUAGGACCCAUAGGGUGGAAGGGAAGAACUGAGUCUCAAGUUGUCCUCUGAAGGGUCCUCAUUUCUGCAGCUCUUCUCAGUGUGUCCUUGUUCAGUGUUGUAGGGUUAUAAGAGCUGUGGCCUCCAUAGCCUCAGUGGUGGUUUUUUCAUACAAUACUAGGACCUUCAGAUCUUCCUCUUCAUGGGUGGGUAACUUGGGGUUUGGUCUGGACUUGACUUUGUAGUCUAAGAACAGACAGUUAUCAUUGAUAGCGGUGUCUUAGAUUUCUAUUGCUGUGACAAACACCACCACCAAAAACAACUUGGGGAGGAAAGGGUUUAUUUCAGCUUACACUUCCACAUCACAGUCCAUCAUGAAAGGAAGUGAGAGCAGGAACUCAAGGCAGGAACCUGGAGGCAGAAACCGAAGCAAAGGUAAUAGAAGAACACUGCGUACUGACUUUCUCUCUCCUGGCUUGCUCAGCCUGUUUUCUUAUAGCACCCAGGACCACCUGCCUAUGGGUGGCACCAUCGCAAUGAGAUGGACCUUCUCACAUCAAUCAGUAAUGAGGAAGACGUACUACAGGACUGGAGAGAUGGCUCAGUGGUUAAGAACACUGGCUGCUGUUCUCGAGGUUCUGAGUUCAAUCCCCAGCACCCACAUGGUGGCUCACAACCAUCUGUAAUGGGAUCUGAAGCCCUCUUCUAGUGUGCAGGCGUACAUGCAGACAAGGCACUCAUACAUAAAAUACAUAGAUAACAAAUUAUUAAAGAAAGAAAAUGCACUAUAAAUGCCCCCAGACCUCAUGGGCGCUCUCUCAAUCUGUAGUCCCUUGUCACAAAUGACUCUAGCAUGUGACAAGUUGACAUAAAACUAGUGAGGACAGCUGGCAACUAUGCUAUGUUAUUGUGUGGGCACACAUGUGAACAUGCAUGUGUGUUUUCAGGUGCAUGUAGGUACAUGUAUGUGGAGACCAGAGGACAACCUUGAGUCCUUGAUCAGGAGCUGUCUCACUUUGUUUUACUUUAUUUUGAUGGAGGCUCUCUCUCGCCUGGCGCUCACUGGUAGGCUGGUGGGCCAGUGUGUCCUGGGGACCCAACUGUCUCUGUUUUCACAGGUCUGCAUUCUAGUGUGUGUGCAUCCACACACAUGCACACAAAAUGCAGGGCAAUGGGGCAGGGUGUCCUGAGCUGUGGGCUGGGAAGGGAAUCGGUAGAGCAAGAACGUAGGCAGUUGCCACAGGGGGCGUGAUGGAAAAGCAGACAGAGCCAGCUUUGCUUCACCUGCGUUCUUAUGCUUUCACAGCACACACUUUAUCAACGGAGCCAUUCCCCAAGCCCCAGGGCCAACUUUCAUCAGAACUGCAGUUAUUUGGAAUAAUUCAUUCCAUACUUCCACUGGAACAUCUUUACAGUGAUGUUUUUUAUGUGUAUGAGUAUUUUGCCUGUAUGGAAGUGUAUACACAUGCACGCCCAGUGCCCAUCAUUGAUAGCCAACAGUGGGCACUGGGAUCCAAAUUCUGGUCCUCUUGUGAAAACAGCAAUUGCUUUUAUCCACGGAGAUAACUCUCCAGUCCCUAAAGGCAAACACUAUCUUUUUUUUUCCUCUGUGUAGCCCUGGCUGUCCUCACUCUGUAGACCAGGUUGGCCCCUGGCUGUCCUCACUCUGUAGACCAGGUUGGCCCC